CAGGUUCUUCCAGAGACUAAAAUCUUCGGCUCACUUUUGAGUGAUCUCGUCGUAAAUGCUGGCCUCUGUGCACCUCUGAAGCCAUUAUCGGAUGCCGUGAAUCAAUUCGUGACCACCUCCUGUUAAUGAUGGAAAGCAAAACACCAUUCAAGUGAAUAUAGACAAAUUGUUUCCUGAAAUGAAGAUUAAAGAUUAAUUAGAAAUAGUUUAGGGUUUCCAAAGGACCUGUAUUUUUGCCUCUAAAUUUUAAACCAACAUAUGAAAAUAAAAGCAAAAAAUUA